CUGAACUACUCACUAGAACAUCUAGGAUAGGAAGCUCAUUCUCUGGGGCUGUUCUUGACUGAAUUGGUUUGCUUCAGAUCUUUGCAUCGAGGGCCUAAGAUGAUAGACGUUUGGUCUGAUGGGGACGACACCUUUCACUGCUGACCCUGAUCAGUUAAGAUCUGCCUUGACUGAAUUCACACCAUCACAUUGUUAAGAUUCCUUUCCUGGAUCCUUAGCCGUCUCCACAGCUUAUCACAUUGUUAAGAUGAUGGAACACUUACUGACA